GACGAACGCUGGCGGCGUGCCUAAUACAUGCAAGUUGAGCGCUGAAGGUUGGUACUUGUACCAACUGGAUGAGCAGCGAACGGGCGAGUAACGCGUGGGGAAUCUGCCUUUGAGCGGGGGACAACAUUUGGAAACGAAUGCUAAUACCGCAUAAAAACUUUAAACACAAGUUUUAAGUUUGAAAGAUGCAAUUGCAUCACUCAAAGAUGAUCCCGCGUUGUAUUAGCUAGUUGGGGAGGUAAAGGCUCACCAAGGCGAUGAUACAUAGCCGACCUGAGAGGGUGGUCGGCCACAUUGGGAAUGGGAAACGGCCCAAACUCCUACGGGAGGCAGCAGUAGGGAAUCUUCGGCAAUGGACGAAAGUCUGACCGAGCAACGCCGCGUGAGUGAAGAAGGUUUUCGGAUCGUAAAACUCUGUUGGUAGAGAAGAACGUUGGUGAGAGUGGAAAGCUCAUCAAGUGACGGUAACUAACCAGAAAGGGACGGCUAACUACGU
rnacentral:rRNA from 1 species